UCCAGCUCCAAUAGCGUAUAUUAAAGUUGUUGCAGUUAAAAAGCUCGUAGUCGGAUUUCGGGUCGGGCCGAGCGGUCUGCCGAUGGGUAUGCACUGUUUGGCGCGGCCUUCUUUCCGGAGACCGCGGCUACCCUUAACUGAGCGGGCGUGGGAGACGGAUCGUUUACUUUGAAAAAAUCAGAGUGUUUCUAGCAGGCAGCUCGCUCUUGCAUAGGUUAGCAUGGGAUAAUUUAAUAGGACUCUGGUGCUAUUUUGUUGGUUUCGAACACCGGAGUAAUGAUUAAAAGGGGCAGUCAGGGGCACUCGUAUUCCGUCGAGAGAGGUGAAAUUCUCAGACCAAUGGAAGACGAACCACUGCGAAAGCAUUUGCCAGGGAUGUUUUCACUGAUCAAGAACGAAAGUUAGGGGAUCGAAGACGAUCAGAUACCGUCGUAGUCUUAACCAUAAACCAUGCCGACUAGGGAUUGGAGGGUGUUCGUUUCGACCUCUUCAGCACCUUACGGGAAACUAAAGUCUUUGGGUUCCGGGGGGAGUAUGGUCGCAAGGCUGAAACUUAAAGGAAUUGACGGAAGGGCACCACCAGGAGUGGAGCCUGCGGCUUAAUUUGACUCAACACGGGGAAACUUACCAGGUCCAGACAUUGUUAGGAUUGACAGAUUGAGAGCUCUUUCUUGAUUCGAUGGGUGGUGGUGCAUGGCCGUUCUUAGUUGGUGGAGUGAUUUGUCUGGUUAAUUCCGUUAACGAACGAGACCGUAGCCUGCUAAAUAGUUCCGCGAACUUCUUGUUGGCGGUCGACUUCUUAGAGGGACAACUUGUGACCAACAAGUGGAAGUUUGCGGCAAUAAC
rnacentral:rRNA from 1 species